rnacentral:rRNA from 1 species
CCUACGGGAGGCUGCAGUGAGGAAUAUUGGUCAAUGGGCGCGAGCCUGAACCAGCCAAGUAGCGUGAAGGAUGACUGCCCUACGGGUUGUAAACUUCUUUUAUAAAGGAAUAAAGUGAGGCACGUGUGCCUUUUUGUAUGUACCUUAUGAAUAAGGAUCGGCUAACUCCGUGCCAGCAGCCGCGGUAAUACGGAGGAUCCGAGCGUUAUCCGGAUUUAUUGGGUUUAAAGGGAGCGUAGAUGGGUUGUUAAGUCAGAGGUGAAAGUUUGCGGCUCAACCGUAGAAUUGCAGUUGAUACUGGCAGUCUUGAGUACAGUUGAGGUAGGCGGAAUGCAUGGUGUAGCGGUGAAAUGCUUAGAUAUCACGAAGAACUCCGAUUGCGAAGGCAGCUUACUAAACUGCCACUGACAUUGAUGCUCGAAAGUGUGGGUAGCAAACAGGAUUAGAUACCCGAGUAGUC